AAUGAUGAUGAUUGGCUCAUGAGCCGAUUUCGUUUCCCCAGGCCAGUAUUACUGGAGCUGUGCGCAGAGCUGCGGCCGGCCCUAGAGCGCCACACAGCCAGGAGCCAGGGGUUGUCCGUGCCCACACAGGUGCUGACCACGCUGGGGUUCCUGGCAACAGGGGCCUUCCAGCGGGAGCUGGCCGAUCGGUCAGGAGUGUGCCAGUCCACCCUGAGCCGAGCCAUGCCAGCUGUGUGGGACGGAAUCAUCAUAUGAGAUUAAUAUGAGUCUAGACCGGCCUCAUAUGCAUUAAUGCAUUAAUAUGAGAUAAUUAAUGCAUUCAAAGCCGAGCCACGCCGCCUUGCCCUGUGAAUUCAGUUGCAGCGCAAAUAUAGCAGCAAAUACGUUACAUUCUUAACCCAGCAGCGGUGUUGUUCAGAUACUGAUUAAAUGGGUUUGUUAACCAUUCGUAAUAGUAUGGCUCCAUGAGUAUGCGCACACGUUCUAUGUGUUCUUCAUCUCUGGGCACUGCGUCCCUUUAUGUUUUGCAGCGGUUGCAUUUGUUCUCUGUUAAAAUACAUGGUUAAUGUAUUAUUUUGGAGUUAAUAAAUUUGAAAAAA